AAAUGAAAAAGAAAAAAAAAGAGAAGUUGGUUUUUGAUUACUGAAGACACUAAAAUUUCUCGUUGUUUCAGCUAAAAACAGAGUAACGACGAGUGGUGUUAGACUCGAAAGACCAGGUAACCAUGAAGAAACAGAAUUUCAAGUGCAACAGUGUUUUGUUUUAUCUAUUUUUAGAAGGGUUUCUUAUAGAGAGAGAGACCAGUAAAAGA